CCUACGUGAGGCAGCAGUGGGGAAUAUUGGGCAAUGGGCGCAAGCCUGACCCAGCAACGCAGCGUGAAGGAAGAAGGCUUUCGGGUUGUAAACUUCUUUUGACAGGGAAGAGUAGAAGACGGUACCUGUCGAAUAAGCCACGGCUAACUACGUGCCAGCAGCCGCGGUAAUACGUAGGUGGCAAGCGUUGUCCGGAUUUACUGGGGGUAAAGGGCGUGUAGCCGGGUUGACAAGUCAGAUGUGAAAGCCUGCGGCGUAACCGCAGAACUGCAUAUGAAAACGUGGAUCUUGAGUACUGGAGAGGCAGACGGAAUUCCUAGUGUAGCGGUGAAAUGCGUAGAUAUUAGGAGGUACACCAGUGGCGAAGGCGGUCUGCUGGACAGCAACUGACGGUGAGGCGCGAAAGCGUGGGGAGCAAACAGGAUUAGAUACCCCAGUAGUC
rnacentral:rRNA from 1 species